rnacentral:rRNA from 1 species
AGCGGCGGACGGGUGAGUAACGCGUGGGUAACCUGCCUCAUACAGGGGGAUAACAGUUGGAAACGGCUGCUAAUACCGCAUAAGCGCGCAGUACCGCAUGGUACGGUGUGAAAAACUCCGGUGGUAUGAGAUGGACCCGCGUCUGAUUAGGUAGUUGGUGGGGUAACGGCCUACCAAGCCGACGAUCAGUAGCCGACCUGAGAGGGUGACCGGCCACAUUGGGACUGAGACACGGCCCAA